UCGUCCUCUCUCUAGAAAAUCUGAAAAGGUUUUUUAUCUCUCUAUUUUCUUCUCUCAUUUCCCCAUAUCUCUGCUCUCUCUCCUUCAUUACUCCAAAAAAAUGCAAAAACCUUCUCCCUUCCAUUUAGUUUCUUUUUCGCAUUUCUCUCGGAUCCCAUGUCUGCUCUCUCUUAAUUUCCUCUCAGACCCCAUCCAUGGUGGAGCAACACAGGCAUGUCUGAUUCCUCUAUAAUAGUGCUCUGGUCCGCAACACUGAGACCCAAACGAGCAGAUCUAAAACAGUUCGUCCAAAAAUCCUCCCUUUGCAGUUUCCUCGCAGAUUGAUGCAUCCGUAGCCUUCCAUAACCCCACAACAAUGCACCUCCAUGAGUACCCCGCCGUUGUGGAAAAUCAGAAAAACGGAAACCCAAAGUGUGGAGAGCCCUAAUGGUUUCAAAUCCGAGACAACAACACAAGAACACACCCUGAGUCAGCAGCUCAGCUCAACCAAGGAUCUGCAAAUGUUGAGCAUACGCCCGUGAGAAAACAAGCUUAAGCGUCCGGUCUAAUAGUCUCAGAAAGCAAAAUCAACAGCAACUGUCGCGGCCUCUGUAUGUCAUGAAGGGGUAUACGGAUCCAUGAUAGAGCCAAGGAGACAGAAGUAAACACACAAGAGCAACGGAGGAAAACAGCACAGGCCGCAUGACCCAAAUCGAUGCAUCUGGGAGGUAAAAUUCGAAUCCCUGCAAGUGUAGUUGUUGUAGAUCUGGUAAUAAUAGCUGUACUCAGUUCUGUGGUGUAUGGAUCUGUGAUUUAAUUGUGCUUCCUCCAUGCAUCGCAAAACUGAGCUGCAGAAAAUUAACUGCUCUAAAUUCUGUUUGUGUGCUGGAUCUGCAACAAUCACCCCCAAACUUGCAUCUGUGAAUGGCUUUUUAUGUUGAUUGCUUUAAAUUUCCAACAUAGUGUACGUUAGACUUGCUGCUGGGUGCAGGAUUCCAGCAUAGGACGUGCUUUAUUUUCCACGUUCGCAACCUGGGAUUAACCAAUAUGCGUUAAAAAAAAAAAUCAAAUAAACUGGGUAAAUAAAAUCAACCUGCAAUCUUCCAUUUUUGUUUUUGAAAUUUUUGUUU